rnacentral:rRNA from 1 species
UACGUAGGGUGCUAGCGUUGUCCGGAUUUAUUGGGCGUAAAGAGCUCGUAGGCGGUUUGUCGCGUCUGCUGUGAAAACCCCGAGGCUCAACCUCGGGCCUGCAGUGGGUACGGGGCAGACUAGAGUGGCGGUAGGGGAGAUUGGAAUUCCUGGUGUAGCGGUGGAAUGCGCAGAUAUCAGGAGGAACACCAAUGGCGAAGGCAGAUCUCUGGGCCGUAACUGGACGCUGAGGAGCGAAAGCAUGGGGAGCGAACAGG